CUCUGAUUGGUGGGCACCCUGCUCUCUCUUUCGCGCUUGCUAGUCCAGAUCCGAAGAGAGCUUCUCUUCCUUUGAAUCGCGUGGAUUGGGAAGCCAUAGCGAAUCGAUUUACAGUUCCGAUCACCAAUUCUAUUUGAUGAGGCCCUUGCAAUUAGGCUUUCUACUGGUUUUAGCUUCGGGACUGUCAGCGAUCCUCAUCUACUUCACCGGCACAUCCAAUCUAUUUGAGACUCGUCGGCCUUCGGAUGAAGAUUUGGAGGCGCUGCAGUCUCUGCAGAGCGGCUUCCAGAAGUGUGUGAGUGCAAAUGGAUUAGGUUUACAGGCUGCGAGUGGUAAUGAUUAUUGCCUAGUCACAAUAAGCUUUCCCAGUGGCACUGCCUCCAAAUGGAAAGAUCCUAAAACUGGGGAACUUGAAGGUUUGUCUUUUGAUUUUAAUCUCUGCGAAGCUGUGGCUACAUGGGAGCAGGUACGGAAUAGUACAACAAUUCUUACCAAGGAAUUCAUUGAUGCUUUACCAAAUGGAUGGAAGGAUUAUGCAUGGCGUAGGAUUAACAAAGGAGUACUUCUGAACCACUGUGCGAAUAAAACUCUGUGCAUGGAGAAACUCUCGCUGGUACUCCCAGAAACACCACCAUAUUAUCCAAGGCAGUUUGGCCGGUGUGCUGUUAUUGGUAACUCGGGAGAUCUGUUGCAAACAAGGUUUGGGAAGGAGAUUGAUAGCUAUGAUGCUGUUAUCAGAGAAAAUGGGGCCCCCAUUCAGAACUAUACAGAAUAUGUGGGCAAAAAAAGUACAUUUCGUCUUCUUAAUAGAGGAUCUGCCAAAGCACUUGAUAAAGUUGUAGAGUUGGAUGAAACAAGGAAGGAGGCCUUGAUAAUUAAGACAACAAUACAUGACAUCAUGAAUCAGAUGAUUCAGGAAAUUCCCAUAAAAAAUUCUGUAUAUCUCAUGCUAGGUGCAUCCUUUGGUUCUGCUGCCAAGGGAACAGGGCUCAAGGCUCUUGAAUUUGCUCUCUCAAUAUGUGAAUCAGUAGAUAUAUAUGGUUUUACUGUGGAUCCAGGCUAUAAAGAAUGGACUAGAUAUUUCUCGGAAUCUCGAAAAGGUCAUACCCCUAUGCAUGGUAGGGCUUACUACCAGAUGAUGGAGUGUUUGGGUCUUAUCAGAAUCCAUUCUCCUACGCGAGCUGAUCCAAACCGUGUCGUGAGAUGGGUGCCUAGCCAAAGUGCCAUUAGAGCUGCCAGAAUUGCAUCGGAGAAGUUGUUGAGGAGGGUAGGACCAGGAUCUGCAGACCCGCUGGGUGCCUGUGUCAUAACAACAAAGCAAGUUAAAAGGAAGUCAACAUUGGUUUCAAUUUUUAGAAAGGCUGCUGUUGAUCAUCAAAAAUAUGUGAAAGCCACGACAAUGUACCCUCUGGAGCACCGUCCUGGACAUGGUAUGCUUUGCACAUUGUCAACUAAUUGAGUCUAUGGCUGGCAACUGGAUUUGAUCUCAGAGACAAGCUGUGCUUUAUAGUGAAUGCAUCAUGUCGAGAGUUGUGUACCUGACGGUCUGAUUGACUGGCCUUUCUCUAAGAUGAGAGGAACUUGGAAGUUGGAAGGAGAGUUUGCAGUUCUUCUGCAGUCUAUUGAUUAUGGGUGCAACUGAAAGCUCCCAUGGCUGAUUAUAUUCAAGUUUCGUUACAGCGAAAGAUGGGAUGAUUUUUUAAAAUUUCCCCUUUUUUGUUUUAUUCGCUGGAGUAAAUCCUGGUUUACGUGGAACCUGAAAAGGAUGCAAAGCUGAUGGGCGUAGACAGUUUUGUUAAUAUUUUUCUUUUCUUCUUAAUUGAAACAGACAGUAUUGCUGCCAGGAAAAUCAUACUUCAGACUAACGUGUACUUUUUGGCCUGUUGAGUGGCUGACUGUCCUGGAGAUCAUGAACUACAGUAAGGUAUAGAGUAACAUAGUUAGUA